GAGAAACCAUCAGAUCCACAAAUAACCUAAUGCAAUGUGGCAAUCACAGUGGAAUAAAGAUGAAGGAUGAUGGGGAAAUCCACUGACCCACCCUCAAGGAAAUGAAUAAAUGAAGUUUGCUCUACCUAUGCCAGUCUCUGCCUGAAGAAGAAAUAAGAAACCAGCGUCAGAAAAGGGCAGUUUGAUGACAAAUGGGUGACUGCAGCCUGAAAGGAAAUUCUGCUUCCUAUAAGCCUGAGCAUCUUCUCACUAGAGAAUGACCUGAAGGCAGAAGAGACAGCAGUUGCUCUGUCUACU